rnacentral:rRNA from 1 species
AACCCGGAAGCUAAGCCUGUCAGCGCCGAUGGUACUGCAUGCGGGAGCGUGUGGGAGAGUAGGACGCCGCCGAAC